ensembl:snoRNA SNORD36 Small nucleolar RNA SNORD36
UUGUAAUGAUGUGAAUCUCUCACUGAAUUCAACCUUGAAGUGCAGAUCCAUGAGUUUUUUAAACCCUGAGCAGU